AUAGAAGUGCCUUUAUAAGAGGUUGGUUAUUCAAAAUAAUUAAAUAUGUACACGCAACCCAGCGCGUUGCAAAUUAGAUGGGGCAAUAUUCUGGCUCAAGUAAUAAUUUCACUGUCUAAUCAUCUUCUUCCAGUUACUGAUGGCGUCAUCGCCCCACUUGAACCAGAUGCCCUCACCAACCUCCAUGCAAUUGAAGAUGAUGGAGAAACAUUGUCUGCGGCAUUCGAAAGGGAAGAGGAAAGGCCUAUUGAGGAUGAAAUCGAAUCCAAUGAGAGGCCAUCCACUUCUAAAUCACAGCUUACCUCUGUAAGAUUCUCCCUGGAAUUAUAAUGAAACGCUCUACUUGGCACUGUGAAAUCCAAUCUCAUCUUUUGCAUUCCUAUAGCUUCCAGUCAAAGACUUAUAUA